UAAAGAUAAAAGGGCUGCUAUAAAUAAUAAAUCAAACCCUAGGGUUUUAUCAUUGCCAGUAGUAUUCAGCACAAACUUUACCAUCUAGGGUUCUGAAAGGCGCGGAGACAUUCGGAGUUUCUCUUUCUUCUGAACAAUGAGGGCUAAGUGGAAGAAGAAGCGUAUGAGGAGAUUGAAGAGGAAGCGCCGAAAGAUGAGGCAGAGAUCUAAGUAAUCUCCUUUUUUUUUUCAGUUUGGCGUUUCUAGCUUUUCCUUUUUUAUUUAUUUAUUUAUAUCUAUGCUGCUUUCGAUUUCGUGAAUUUUGAUAUGUAGCACUACUUUGUUAUAUUUCAGAACUACAUUUUGUGGAUGAACUAUUUAAUCAGUUGAAUUUAUUGUCAUUAUUGAGUUUAACUUUUGUUCCUUA